AUACGAAAGGUGCAAGCGUUGUUCGGAUUUACUGGGCGUAAAGAGAGUGUAGGUUGUUUAUUAAGUCGGAUGUGAAAUCCCGGGGCUCAACCUCGGAACUGCAUUCGAUACUGGUAGACUAGAGUUCGGGAGGGGUAAGCGGAAUUCCGCGUGUAGCAGUGAAAUGCGUAGAUAUGCGGAGGAACACCUGAGGCGAAGGCGGCUUACUGGACCGAUACUGACACUGAGACUCGAAAGCGUGGGUAGCAAACAGGAUUAGAAACCCUAGUAGUCC
rnacentral:rRNA from 1 species